GUUCCAGAUAAAAGGACUGCCUGGAUCCCUGAUUGAGGCCUCUUUACCUUUUUGUGUCAUCGUGAUUGCUUUGUUUGUGUUGUGCUUUAACAUUGCACAUUCGUAUGCUCUAUUCUCUAACCGUUAAUCCAUUUCAUGUAUCGUUGAUUGUCUCGUCUGAGAAAGUUUGUAAAUUUGUGUUCAGAGUGUGUUGAGCCUGUGCGUUUUGUUUUGUUCUGUUUAUUCUUUCAACUGAUAGAUUUGUUUGUGCUGUACCCAUGCCUGAUACUGAGAGGGAGUUAGCAAGAUGAUGGGUCUCUAUCCAACUGUCUAGGUCCAGCCUUUGGAUAUUUCUGGGUUCGGGGAGGCUGUGGCCACUCUGGCCCUGCGUGUGGCCAACCUGGCAGUAUUUGAUCCAGAUUUAUCGGACCUGGCUCAGCUGGUAAUGAGCCGGGCACACACCACAAUUUCGAUGAUGCGACAGUAUGACCCCAUGUGGACCCAUGAGGUGCCUGAAAUGAGUGGGGUCCAGAGGGACCACGGGAACAGCGAAAUUAGGUGGUUGUUACGAAGUUCGGAGCAGCUGGUCGAGCGGAUGGCGGAACCGUCUGCACUGAGGUAAAGUUUUAUAUUAACACUUCCGGGUUCAAAAACUUUCUAAUUUAGUAGUAGUGUGAACGAGUAGUGUGAACACUCAAAUCUGGCCCAGAUCUGUUUUUUUUUUUUUUUUUUUAAAUCCGAUCUGAGCCACUUCCAUAUGUGGUCCUGAAUCAGACCCAAAUCUGAUUUUUUUUCCAAUGUGGCCGCAGUGUGAACAGCCAAGGCGGAUUUGAUGCAACUUUUACAUCGACAUUCAUCACAAUUAUGCGCUGGGCAAAGACUUUUUUUUUUUUU